rnacentral:rRNA from 1 species
GAUGAACGCUGGCGGCGUGCCUAAUACAUGCAAGUCGAGCGAACGGACGAGAAGCUUGCUUCUCUGAUGUUUGCGGCGGACGGGUGAGUAACACGUGGAUAACCUACCUAUAAGACUGGGAUAACUUCGGGAAACCGGAGCUAAUACCGGAUAAUAUUUUGAACCGCAUGGUUCAAAAGUGAAAGACGGUCUUGCUGUCACUUAUAGAUGGAUCCGCGCUGCAUUAGCUAGUUGGUAAGGUAACGGCUUACCAAGGCAACGAUGCAUAGCCGACCUGAGAGGGUGAUCGGCCACACUGGAACUGAGACACGGUCCAGACUCCUACGGGAGGCAGCAGUAGGGAAUCUUCCGCAAUGGGCGAAAGCCUGACGGAGCAACGCCGCGUGAGUGAUGAAGGUCUUCGGAUCGUAAAACUCUGUUAUUAGGGAAGAACAUAUGUGUAAGUAACUGUGCACAUCUUGACGGUACCUAAUCAGAAAGCCACGGCUAACUACGUGCCAGCAGCCGCGGUAAUACGUAGGUGGCAAGCGUUAUCCGGAAUUAUUGGGCGUAAAGCGCGCGUAGGCGGUUUUUUAAGUCUGAUGUGAAAGCCCACGGCUCAACCGUGGAGGGUCAUUGGAAACUGGAAAACUUGAGUGCAGAAGAGGAAAGUGGAAUUCCAUGUGUAGCGGUGAAAUGCGCAGAGAUAUGGAGGAACACCAGUGGCGAAGGCGACUUUCUGGUCUGUAACUGACGCUGAUGUGCGAAAGCGUGGGGAUCAAACAGGAUUAGAUACCCUGGUAGUCCACGCCGUAAACGAUGAGUGCUAAGUGUUAGGGGGUUUCCGCCCCUUAGUGCUGCAGCUAACGCAUUAAGCACUCCGCCUGGGGAGUACGACCGCAAGGUUGAAACUCAAAGGAAUUGACGGGGACCCGCACAAGCGGUGGAGCAUGUGGUUUAAUUCGAAGCAACGCGAAGAACCUUACCAAAUCUUGACAUCCUUUGACAACUCUAGAGAUAGAGCCUUCCCCUUCGGGGGACAAAGUGACAGGUGGUGCAUGGUUGUCGUCAGCUCGUGUCGUGAGAUGUUGGGUUGAGUCCCGCAACGAGCGCAACCCUUAAGCUUAGUUGCCAUCAUUAAGUUGGGCACUCUAAGUUGACUGCCGGUGACAAACCGGAGGAAGGUGGGGAUGACGUCAAAUCAUCAUGCCCCUUAUGAUUUGGGCUACACACGUGCUACAAUGGACAAUACAAAGGGCAGCGAAACCGCGAGGUCAAGCAAAUCCCAUAAAGUUGUUCUCAGUUCGGAUUGUAGUCUGCAGCUCGACUACAUGAAGCUGGAAUCGCUAGUAAUCGUAGAUCAGCAUGCUACGGUGAAUACGUUCCCGGGUCU